rnacentral:rRNA from 1 species
AGAGUUUGAUCCUGGCUCAGGAUGAACGCUGGCGGCGUGCUUAACCCAUCCAAGUCGAACGGGAUCCAUCAAGCUUGCUUGGUGGUGAGAGUGGCGAACGGGUGAGUAAUGCGUGACCGACCUGCCCCAUACACCGGAAUAGCUCCUGGAAACGGGUGGUAAUGCCGGAUGCUCCAGUUGAUCGCAUGGUCUUCUGGGAAAGCUUUCGCGGUAUGGGAUGGGGUCGCGUCCUAUCAGCUUGACGGCGGGGUAACGGCCCACCGUGGCUUCGACGGGUAGCCGGCCUGAGAGGGCGACCGGCCACAUUGGGACUGAGAUACGGCCCAGACUCCUACGGGAGGCAGCAGUGGGGAAUAUUGCACAAUGGGCGCAAGCCUGAUGCAGCGACGCCGCGUGAGGGAUGGAGGCCUUCGGGUUGUAAACCUCUUUUAUCGGGGAGCAAGCGAGAGUGAGUUUACCCGUUGAAUAAGCACCGGCUAACUAC